rnacentral:rRNA from 1 species
GAUGAACGCUGGCGGCGUGCCUAAUACAUGCAAGUCGAGCGAACAGACGAGGAGCUUGCUUCCCUUACGUUAGCGGCGGACGGGUGAGUAACACGUGGAUAACCUACCUAUAAGACUGGGAUAACUUCGGGAAACCGGAGCUAAUACCGGAAAAUAUAUUGAACCGCAUGGUUCAAUAGUUAAAGACGGCUUUGCUGUCACUUAUAGAUGGAUCCGUGCCGCAUUAGCUAGUUGGUAAGGUAACGGCUUACCAAGGCGACGAUGCGUAGCCGACCUGAGAGGGUGAUCGGCCACACUGGAACUGAGACACGGUCCAGACUCCUACGGGAGGCAGCAGUAGGGAAUCUUCCGCAAUGGGCGAAAGCCUGACGGAGCAACGCCGCGUGAGUGAUGAAGGUCUUCGGAUCGUAAAACUCUGUUAUUAGGGAAGAACAAAUGUGUAAGUAACUAUGCACGUCUUGACGGUACCUAAUCAGAAAGCCACGGCUAACUACGUG